rnacentral:SRP_RNA from 1 species
GCCGGGCGUGGUGGCGGACGCCUGUAGUCCCAGCUACUCGGGAGGCUGAGGCAGGAGAAUGGCGUGAACCCAGGAGGCGGAGCUUGCAGUGAGCUGAGAUCCGGCCACUGCACUCCAGCCUGGGUGACAGAGCCAGACUCCGUCUCAA